AUAAACGCUGGCGGCGUGCCUAAUACAUGCAAGUCGCGCGAACAGACGAGGAGCUUGCUCCUCUGAUGUUAGCGGCGGACGGGUGAGUAACACGUGGAUAACCUACCUAUAAGACUGGGAUAACUUCGGGAAACCGGAGCUAAUACCGGAUAACAUGUUGAACCGCAUGGUUCAACAGUGAAAGACGGUCUUGCUGUCACUUAUAGAUGGAUCCGCGCCGCAUUAGCUAGUUGGUAAGGUAACGGCUUACCAAGGCAACGAUGCGUAGCCGACCUGAGAGGGUGAUCGGCCACACUGGAACUGAGACACGGUCCAGACUCCUACGGGAGGCAGCAGUAGGGAAUCUUCCGCAAUGGGCGAAAGCCUGACGGAGCAACGCCGCGUGAGUGAAGAAGGUCUUCGGAUCGUAAAACUCUGUUAUUAGGGAAGAACAAAUGUGUAAGUAACUAUGCACGUCUUGACGGUACCUAAUCAGAAAGCCACGGCUAACUACGUG
rnacentral:rRNA from 1 species